ensembl:lncRNA
UCUGAGAUGAAAUGCGAGUCGCCCACAGGAAGUUUGUUCCAACCACUGUUAGUCUUCCCCUGCUGUUAAAAUUGAGCUUCCUGUAGCAAAAAUGUUUUCCAGCUUUCCUGUGAGGUACCUUGAUGAGCCACAUAUUCUUGCAUCUGCACUGCCUCCCUCUUAGCAAAGCCAGCAGAGAGUAAGCAAAAAAAAUGCGCACUUGUUAACUUCCCCCCAACACACAUGAGUGACUUUAAAUAAUAUAAUAUGUGGCUCACACUUUCCAAAUGCUAUUGGAACAGUCUUUUCAUGUGGUUCGUAAAUUUACAGCUGCUUCUUCUCAAGUGAUUGUGUGGGAGAACUUCUCAGUGUCCACUGCAUGAUGAGUGUGAAAGGUGUGGUGAAGUGUUUGGGCCACUACACUAAACACAGCCCAGCCCAGAAAUGUUCAAAGAGCUUUAUUAUCUGAUUUGGAAAGUUCAAUGGAUGACAUCAGACUUGAGCCGCUCCUUAUGUUUUUUCAUAUUUUGCUUCCAAGGAGCCAGACUUUCUGGUCUUUUUUUUUUUUUUUUUUAAACUGAGCUUGAGCAAUAGUUCUCCAUUCCUUAUGAGAGUCUUUCAGAUUUUUUUAUUUGGCCAUUGGGUGCUUUUUCACUCAUUUUCAGUCUAGUCAUACUAUGCAACCAUUUUCUAAGCCACUUCAGUUGAUUCAUCCACUUUUCACUGAUGCUUCAUCUGGAAUUAUCUCAGUGGAAGGACGGCUGUCCCGAAGCCAUUCUCCAGGAAGGACAACAGGGAGAAAAGAAGCCUACAAGAUCCACCGUGAAGAACAGACAACAGGCAGCAAGAAGAAAUCUAUGAAGUUCAAGGAAGAGGCAGCGGUGGAAUUACUGAGUGUGCCAGUGGAGAGCAUUGCCUCAGAUCUGCUGCCACUGAAGCAGAGACACCUCUAGAGACGAGCCGGCUCAUUUCUAUAAAGAUUAAUAAUGCUAGUGUUUAUAAGGCCCAGAUCAGCCCUCGGAGUCCCAAGGCCCCCCCGGUGCAAAACCGCUGGCACAAGACAGCGGAGGUGGUGACAGAGAUGAGGUAAAGACCCGUGUAGGGUGUGGGAGUAAUGGAGUGAGGAAACAGUAAGUGCCUCAUUGCAUAGAUACAUCAGAGCUUAUUUUAUGAUGCGUUUAAUUUAAAAACCAAUGCAAAACUUAAUUUUAUUUCAUUGUAUAACGUUCGGUUUAAGGUGCUAAACCUUUUAAACUCACAAAUUUAGCACUCUAUUAAAUGUAAGACCAACGGCCACUUGGCUUAGGGCAAAGAGUGGAAACCUCAAAGUAAGAAAACAUAACUACCAACAUCUCUACAGCGUAUUACUUCUACGCUCAUUCCACUGGGGAAAAAAAGAUGUUAAAAUAAUUGCUGGUAACCUGGCAACUUCACUAUAAAGAUUAGAUCUAAC